rnacentral:rRNA from 1 species
GACGUAGGGCGCGAGCGUUGUCCGGAUUUAUUGGGCGUAAAGAGCUCGUAGGCGGCUUGUCGCGUCGUCCGUGAAAACCUGCAGCUCAACUGCAGGCUUGCGGUCGAUACGGGCAGGCUGGAGUUCGGUAGGGGAGACUGGAAUUCCUGGUGUAGCGGUGAAAUGCGCAGAUAUCAGGAGGAACACCGGUGGAGAAGGCGGGUCUCUGGGCCGAUACUGACGCUGAGGAGCGAAAGCGUGGGGAGCGAACAGG